rnacentral:snRNA from 1 species
AGCUUUGCGCAGUGGCAGUAUCGUAGCCAAUGAGGUUUAUCCGAGGCGCGAUUAUUGCUAAUUGAGAACAGGGAAGUCCAACUCGGUACAAUCUUGAGAGAUUAAAGUAUCAUAUAAAAUAUAGUUUGUUAU